AUACUUACCUGGCAGGGGAGAUACCAUGAUCAAGACGGUGGUUUUCUCAGGUUGAGGCUCAACUAUUGCACUUGGGUUGUGCUGGUCCCUGCGAAUUCCCCAAAAGUGAGAAUCUCGACUGCAUAAUUUCUAGUGAUGUGGGAGUGCGUUCGCGCUCUCCCUUG